GGUGGGGCUCACCUGUUGCCAUUCCGAACACAGAAGUUAAGCCCACCAGCGCCGAUGGUACUGCUAACGCGGGAGAGUAGGUCGCCGCCAGUU
rnacentral:rRNA from 1 species